CCUACGGUAGGCUGCAGUGGGGGAUAUUGCACAAUGGGGGAAACCCUGAUGCAGCGACGCCGCGUGUUGGAAGACGGUCUUCUGGAUUGUAAACCACUGUCCCCAGGGACGAAAAUGACGGUACCUGGGGAGGAAGCUCCGGCUAACUACGUGCCAGCAGCCGCGGUAAUACGGAGGGAGCAAGCGUUGUCAGGAAUUAGUGGGCGUAAAGAGUUCGUAGGUGGCACGUUAAGUCUGGUGUUAAAGGCGGAAGCUCAACUUCCGUAGGGCUCUGGAUACUGGCGAGCUUGAAUGCGGUAGAGGUAAAGGGAAUUCCUGGUGUAGAGGUGAAAUGCGUAGAUAUCAGGAGGAACAUCGGUGGCGUAAGCGCUUUACUGGGCCGUAAGUGACACUGAGGAACGAAAGCCGGGGUAGCAAAUGGGAUUAGAUACCCGAGUAGUC
rnacentral:rRNA from 1 species